rnacentral:misc_RNA from 1 species
AACGCACGAGACCUGCGGACCUGCGGAAGGAUCAUUACAGAAUGGUGGCCUUAGAAUGCAUCUUCGGGUGUAUAGGCACCUUAAACCCUUUGUCUACUUUACUGAAGUUUCCUUGGUGGGCCUGUGUGAGAGAUCAGCCAGUCAGGCUCCUGCUCUAGGUUGAACCUGUUACACUGCCGGCCACAUGGCUGGCCCAUGCCCACCAGAGGACCCCUCCAAAACUCUUUAUGUUCAGUUUGU